UACAGAGGCCUCGAGCGUUAGGCGGAAUCACUGGGCUUAAAGCGUGUGUAGGUGGAUGCCUAAGUACCUUGUGAAAUCCCACGGCUUAACCGUGGAACUGCUGGGUAUACUGGGUGUCUUGAGCCACUUAGGGGCUACCGGAACAAGCGGUGGAGCGGUGAAAUGCGUAGAUAUCGCUUGGAACGCCAAUGGUGAAAACAGGUAGCUGGGGGUGUGCUGACACUGAGACACGAAAGCCAGGGGAGCAAACGGG
rnacentral:rRNA from 1 species